AAUCAAACUGCCGGUGUAACAUGAUGGACUACGUGAGAUCUUUGUUUUGCCUUGUGGAGCUGUAUAUAAUAAAGCGAGGUAUUUUUAAUCUGAACUAACACAUAGAUUUCACUCGUUGUUCUACAACACUCGAUUUAUCAGAUGGAUUGUUACUGUUUUCUGUGAAGACAUUUUUUGUUUUUAUGGACAUUACUAACUGAGAACAGCAGAGACAGAGGCAUGAGGGGAUCAAAGCACAUAAUGAAUAUGAUGAAAGCAACGCAAGCUGCAAUAAUGCAGGCCCCUUGUAUAAACACUGUCCUGCUAUCGCAGGAGGACUGGACAUGCUUUACGAGUCCAUAAACAAAAUAUCUCGGUCCUCACCCGGGCACUGCCAUAACGAUUUACGAUUCAGAGUGGAAGCAUCUCUCAGGAAUGCAACUUUAAGGACUAAGAUCUGUGAGGACGUGAUUUAACGUGCCCCGGAGAUAACCCCGGACGUAAACAUGUCAACGUGACGUGGGCGGUCCGGUUAAAAGUUCAACCCAACGUGGGCGGUCCGGUUAAAAGUUCAGUGCUACGUGGGCUGUCGGUUCAAAAGUUCUGAGCAGCGCGGGAGGACGGUUCAAAAGUUUAGAGCAACGUGGGCGGUCGGUUCGAAAGUUUAGAGCAGCGUGGGAGGUCGGUUUAAAAGUUCACAACGUGGGAGGUCCGGUCAAAAGUUCACGAUGUGGGAGGUCCGGUCAAAGGUUAGCCCCUCCCCGGAGGUCAAAGGUUCACGACGUGGGUGGUCCGGUCAAAGGUCAGCCCCUCCCUCGCAGGU